AUUGAACGCUGGCGGCAGGCCUAACACAUGCAAGUCGAGCGGUAGAGAGGUGCUUGCACCUCUUGAGAGCGGCGGACGGGUGAGUAAUGCCUAGGAAUCUGCCUGGUAGUGGGGGAUAACGCUCGGAAACGGACGCUAAUACCGCAUACGUCCUACGGGAGAAAGCAGGGGACCUUCGGGCCUUGCCGUAUCAGAGGAGCCUAGGUCGGAUUAGCUAGUUGGUGAGGUAAUGGCUCACCAAGGCGACGAUCCGUAACUGGUCUGAGAGGAUGAUCAGUCACACUGGAACUGAGACACGGUCCAGACUCCUACGGGAGGCAGCAGUGGGGAAUAUUGGACAAUGGGCGAAAGCCUGAUCCAGCCAUGCCGCGUGUGUGAAGAAGGUCUUCGGAUUGUAAAGCACUUUAAGUUGGGAGGAAGGGUCGUUACCCAAUACGUGACGAUUUUGACGUUACCGACAGAAUAAGCACCGGCUAACUCUGUGCCAGCAGCCGCCGUAA
rnacentral:rRNA from 1 species